UACGGAGGGUGCGAGCGUUAAUCGGAAUUACUGGGCGUAAAGCGCGCGCAGGCGGCGUGUUAAGUCGGUUGUGAAAGCCCCGGGCUCAACCUGGGAAGGGCAUUCGGAACUGUCAUGCUAGAGUGCAGGAGAGGAAGGUAGAAUUCCAGGUGUAGCGGUGAAAUGCGUAGAGAUCGGGAGGAAUACCAGUGGCGAAGGCGGCCUUCUGGACUGACACUGACGCUGAGGCGCGAAAGCGUGGGUAGCAAACAGG
rnacentral:misc_RNA from 1 species